UUGAUCCAUUCUAUCAAUGGGAACACAUGGAUGGCAGACCCCUGGGAAUUGCUGCUUGCAGCUAUAUUUUUAUUCUAUUCUCGCAGGGUGAGGGGAAAGUAGGGUAGUCGUGACUCAGAUGUUGACGGCUCGAUUCCCAGUCAGGGCACUGUCGUUGGACUGAAUGCAAUUGCCACUAGGUGGCAGUAUACGGAAGGAUAAAUCGCAUCGCAUGACUUCAGUUUGAUUUUAUGGUCGGCUCAGUCAGGUACGUGGGUCUAUUUUUUAGUUUGCUGGGGAGUAGUCGCAUCAUAUCAGAAGAUCACAUACAUUCACAAUGUACUACCGAAGCUCAUUAACUUUAAAUUACGAAUUACAAGAAAUAUUUACACAACAGUGCUAGCCAACAAUAUAAAUGUAAGCUCCCCAUAAAAUUCAAUACAAAAGUUACUUCUUGUCUGUACCCUUCCUAUGCUAAGAUACCCGUCUUCUGUUGUUUACAGCGAAAAAAUAAUUAUGUUCUGAAGUCUAGGGACGUUGUGAGCAUUUCAGGU